rnacentral:lncRNA from 1 species
AUUUAUAUCAAAUUGAAAUGGAAUUUGUUUUCAAGUUCAGUUUUUAAUAUUAAUUUUUAAAUUUGUUUUGAUUAGUAGUUUUUAUACUUUAUUUUAUUAGUACAUACUGAAGUUGAGAUAAUAAUUUUUGAUUCCUAGUAUUACUAGGAAGAGCUAAGCCAGGUGUCCGUACAUCCCCCAGCAUAGUUUUCAAAAUGUUUAUAAUGAAAAAUUUUAAUAAAUGCAGUUUCUGCACUAGCUGGAUCUCACCUGUAAGUCCUGCCAUGCAAUUUUAGUGACUGACUUUUAAAUUUGCGUCCAAAAAUUGCAUUGUACCAAGUAACAUAUAAAG